GGUCCCGCGCAACGUCAGCCCGUGAACCAUGUCAGGCGGGGAACCGAGCAGCAUUAAGCGGUAUCUGGUGUGUGCCGCGGCCAGCCGG
rnacentral:SRP_RNA from 1 species